GAUGAACGCUGACCGAAUGCUUAACACAUGCAAGUCUUUGGCGAAGCUGUGCUUGCACAGCCUAGCCAAGGCGGACGGGUGAGUAACGCGUAAGGAACUUGCCCUGCAGUCAGGGAUAACAGACGGAAACGACUGAUAAGACCUGGUAAAGUCAGGCGGACUCAUGUCCAGCCUGAUGAAAAGAGAUGCUGCAGGAGAGCCUUGCGUCCUAUUAGCUUGUUGGUGGGGUAACGGCCCACCAAGGCGAUGAUAGGUAGCCGGCCUGAGAGGGUGGACGGCCACAAGGGGACUGAGAUACGGCCCUUACUCCUACGGGAGGCAGCAGUGGGGAAUAUUGGACAAUGGGGGCAACCCUGAUCCAGCAAUUCGGUGUGCACGAUGAAGGUUUUCGGAUUGUAAAGUGCUUUCAGCAGGGAAGAAAAAAUGACGGUACCUGCAGAAGAAGCGACGGCUAAAUACGUG
rnacentral:rRNA from 1 species